rnacentral:tRNA from 2 species
AUUACGUUAGUAUAUUAAGUACACUUGCCUUCCAAGCAAAAAGAUUGGGCACCAAACGUAAUA